rnacentral:rRNA from 1 species
GAUGUGUAGGAUAGGUGGGAGGCUUUGAAGCGUGGACGCCAGUCUGCGUGGAGCCGACCUUGAAAUACCACCCUUUAAUGUUUGAUGUUCUAACGUGGACCCGUAAUCCGGGUUGCGGACAGUGUCUGGUGGGUAGUUUGACUGGGGCGGUCUCCUCCUAAAGAGUAACGGAGGAGCACGAAGGUUGGCUAAUCCUGGUCGGACAUCAGGAGGUUAGUGCAAUGGCAUAAGCCAGCUUGACUGCGAGCGUGACGGCGCGAGCAGGUGCGAAAGCAGGUCAUAGUGAUCCGGUGGUUCUGAAUGGAAGGGCCAUCGCUCAACGGAUAAAAGGUACUCCGGGGAUAACAGGCUGAUACCGCCCAAGAGUUCAUAUCGACGGCGGUGUUUGGCACCUCGAUGUCGGCUCAUCACAUCCUGGGGCUGAAGUAGGUCCCAAGGGUAUGGCUGUUCGCCAUUUAAAGUGGUACGCGAGCUGGGUUUAGAACGUCGUGAGACAGUUCGGUCCCUAUCUGCCGUGGGCGCUGGAGAACUGAGGGGGGCUGCUCCUAGUACGAGAGGACCGGAGUGGACGCAUCACUGGUGUUCGGGUUGUCAUGCCAAUGGCACUGCCCGGUAGCUAAAUGCGGAAGAGAUAAGUGCUGAAAGCAUCUAAGCACGAAACUUGCCCCGA